GCUGUCACUUAUGGAUGGACCCGCGUCGCAUUAGCUAGUUGGUGAGGUAACGGCUCACCAAGGCAACGAUGCGUAGCCGACCUGAGAGGGUGAUCGGCCACACUGGGACUGAGACACGGCCCAGACUCCUACGGGAGGCAGCAGUAGGGAAUCUUCCGCAAUGGACGAAAGUCUGACGGAGCAACGCCGCGUGAGUGAUGAAGGCUUUCGGGUCGUAAAACUCUGUUGUUAGGGAAGAACAAGUGCUAGUUGAAUAAGCUGGCACCUUGACGGUACCUAACCAGAAAGCCACGGCUAACUACGUGCCAGCAGCCGCGGUAAUACGUAGGUGGCAAGCGUUAUCCGGAAUUAUUGGGCGUAAAGCGCGCGCAGGUGGUUUCUUAAGUCUGAUGUGAAAGCCCACGGCUCAACCGUGGAAGGGUCAUUGGAAACUGGGGAGACUUGAGUGCAGAAGAAGAAAGUGGAAUUCCAUGUGUAGCGGUGAAAUGCGUA
rnacentral:rRNA from 1 species